rnacentral:rRNA from 1 species
GAAGUGGAUUAAGAGCUUGCUCUUAUGAAGUUAGCGGCGGACGGGUGAGUAACACGUGGGUAACCUGCCCAUAAGACUGGGAUAACUCCGGGAAACCGGGGCUAAUACCGGAUAACAUUUUGAACCGCAUGGUUCGAAAUUGAAAGGCGGCUUCGGCUGUCACUUAUGGAUGGACCCGCGUCGCAUUAGCUAGUUGGUGAGGUAACGGCUCACCAAGGCAACGAUGCGUAGCCGACCUGAGAGGGUGAUCGGCCACACUGGGACUGAGACACGGCCCAGACUCCUACGGGAGGCAGCAGUAGGGAAUCUUCCGCAAUGGACGAAAGUCUGACGGAGCAACGCCGCGUGAGUGAUGAAGGCUUUCGGGUCGUAAAACUCUGUUGUUAGGGAAGAACAAGUGCUAGUUGAAUAAGCUGGCACCUUGACGGUACCUAACCAGAAAGCCACGGCUAACUACGUGCCAGCAGCCGCGGUAAUACGUAGGUGGCAAGCGUUAUCCGGAAUUAUUGGGCGUAAAGCGCGCGCAGGUGGUUUCUUAAGUCUGAUGUGAAAGCCCACGGCUCAACCGUGGAG